UAAACACCCCAUCCGAAUGAUGUAAUUUAUUUUUAUCUUUCGGAGACAUCUGUAUAAACCCCAUCAGAGGGUAAUAUAUAUAAACCCCAUCAGAGGGUCAAAAAAAAAAAAAAAAAAAAAAAAAAAAAAAAAAAAAAAAGGGAAAAGCCCAAAACAAAUGGGCUGGCAUGUUGUGGAGGGCGAAGGCCCAUAAGCCUGAAAUAGCACCAACCAGGUGAUCAAAAUUACUCCCAGGUCAUCCACAAUUAUUCGGCAACCCGCCGUUAUUACCACCAACCAGGUGAUCAAAAGUACGCCUAGUACUCCAAAUUAUACAUGAGCACUACUCAUGUCAUUCAUACAUAAACAUUCAUGAGCAUCACUCAUGACAAUCAUGCAUAAACAUUCAUGAUCAUCAUUCAUGUCAACAUUCAUGAGCAUAACUCAUGUUAACAUUCAUGAGCAUCACUCAUGACAACAUCCAUGAGCAUCACUCAUGUCAAUCAACAUAAACAUUCAUGAGCAUCACUCAUGUCAAUCAGCUUCAAAAGCUUCAUUUACAAAAGCUCCAGUUUCGAAAGCUUCAUUUCCAGAGCUCUAGCUUCAAAGCUUCACUUGCAAAGCUUCACCUACAAAGCUUCAGUG
rnacentral:lncRNA from 1 species